rnacentral:rRNA from 1 species
UACGGGGGGGGCAAGCGUUGUUCGGAAUUACUGGGCGUAAAGGGCUCGUAGGCGGCCAACUAAGUCAGACGUGAAAUCCCUCGGCUUAACCGGGGAACUGCGUCUGAUACUGGAUGGCUUGAGAUUGGGAGAGGGAUGCGGAAUUCCAGGUGUAGCGGUGAAAUGCGUAGAGAUCCGGAGGAACACCAGCGGCGAAGGCGGCAUCCUGGACUGGUCCUGACACUCAUGAGCGAAAGCGUGGGGAGCGAUCCGG